GACGAACGCUGGCGGCGUGCUUAACACAUGCAAGUCGAACGAUGAAGCCGGAGCUUGCUCUGGUGAAUUAGUGGCGAACGGGUGAGUAACACGUGAGUAACCUGCCCUUGACUCUGGGAUAACUGCGGGAAACUGUAGCUAAUACCGGAUACGACCCUCGGAGGCAUCUCAUGGGGGUGGAAAGAAUUUCGGUCAAGGAUGGACUCGCGGCCUAUCAGCUAGUUGGUGAGGUAAAGGCUCACCAAGGCGACGACGGGUAGCCGGCCUGAGAGGGUGACCGGCCACACUGGGACUGAGACACGGCCCAGACUCCUACGGGAGUCAGCAGUGGGGGAUAUUGCACAAUGGGCGCAAGCCUGAUGCAGCAACGCCGCGUGAGGGAUGACGGCCUUCGGGUUGUAAACCUCUUUUAGCAGGGAAGAAGCGAAAGUGACGGUACCUGCAGAAAAAGCACCGGCUAACUACGUGCCAGCCGCCGCCGUAA
rnacentral:rRNA from 1 species